GGGAUACUCGGAUGUUUACUUUUUGUCCAGCUGUUUGUUUUGCCCUUGUCGUGGCAAUAUAAUUUCACAAUUUUUGGCAUUAAACCUGUCCAACUACAA